rnacentral:lncRNA from 1 species
GUCGCCCUCCGCUGAUGGGAUCGGUGAUGUCCCGACCCCAAGUGGACGCCCGCUGAGGGGUUUAUUCUUCUCGGCAAAGCCUGAGCGGGCGGUGAGGAGCUCCUGAGCUGCCCGGUCGGCCCUGCGGCCCACCAGGUUCACCUGAAUCUCAUCUCCAUCCAAGCUGCACCACAGGCUGAUCACUGGCUUUGGGUUUAGUGCAAACCCAGGAGUCUCGUGGGAACCAACACUGCAGGAUGGGCUUUCCAUAGCUCCUUUGUGGCCUGAAGUGCAUACCUGAGCCCACACUAAUGACAAGAAGCAGCUCUGGGCACCACGGGGACACUCCCACAGGAGCUGCACACGCAUUCAGGGCUGUCAGCAGCUCCUGACCACAGCAAGGAUGUAUCAAAAUAGGCACCAUGCAUUGUAGCUGAGGCAUCACACAAAGAUGCAGGCACCAAAGAGUCAUAGGUUAAGAUCCUGUUGGCAAGGAUAACAAAUUCCACAUCUGCAAAUAUAAUAGCCCAGGGCACAGGAAAAGAGUGCAUACGGUGUGUGCACAUUGCAAGGGGGUUAUGCGUUCUGCUGACUCUGUGCCCCACUUCCAAGCUGCCCUGAGGGGAGGAAAAAGAACAGUCCCAGUUACUAUGGUGAAAUCAGAUGGGCUGAAUGGGAUUUGGCCGGGACUCGGGACGGGCAGCAGCUGAAUCUGUCAGCGCUCCACAAGACCUGUGUGCCACUGCAAAUCUUCAGCAGAACUGCAGCCAACAGCAGUGUGCUCAAGUGGAAAAGGUGGAUGUCAUCGUGUGAGAAACGGUGCAGCAGUGUGCCAUUGUGUGCAGCCAGCACAGGGCUGGUAUGGCAUGGGAUGGAGGAUCUGGCCCUGUUCUGGCCACGGUGGGGAUUUGGGCCAGCUGGGCACAAAGGGACACCAGUGGUGCAGAAGUGCAGACUGUGAGCAAAGGCUGAAAGAAGAAAUGACUCUUCCAGGAGAAGUAAAGAGCUGGAGAGAGCCACAGCAACACAUUCCAGUCCUAUCAAAGGCUGAAGGCAGGUCAGCAUGAGCAGCAGUGGGGAAACUCAGACAAAAACAAAAGGUGUGCAACGCUGCAGACAGCAAAGCAGUGCACCAGGCUUCCAGGGGGACACAUGGCUGCCACAGAGGCACAGCUUAUCAGUACCAUUCCAUACCUGUGUAACCAGUAGUCAGAUUUCACAAAGGUUUUAAAAAUUAUGAGGAAAACUGAAGGGGAAAAAAUCAACAACUGUUAGAGUGGGAGAAUUAGCAGUUCCUUCAGAGGCACUUGCAAUACAUCACAAAAGCUAAUUCUGCACAGUCAAGAAAACAUAAUUCUGGCUGCAGACCCAUCCUCUAAGUUGGUAACCUGAAAACAGCAGUUGGAAGCAAAGUGACGGUAUAUACAAAGAGGAAUAAAGUAAUAAAGAGCAAUCAAUACAUAGCAAUCACCAAAGUGAGUUAUGAGGCAGAUAUUGAUAAAAUAAAUGGACAGAGGAAAAUCCAUGGCUGGCAAAGCCAUGAGCAGUGAGCAGCUGUUCUCUAAAUGCGUUAGGAACAAGAGAAACACUGCAGGUCUGUCCCAUAGAGCUGGAGGAGCAUUAGCAGCAUUGGUCAGAGACAGCCCUGGGUGUCUCCAGUCCAUCCUCAUGCUGAGGGCAGGGCUGAGGGCAAUGUGACCCCGCCUUGCUCACAGUUCACCUGGACCAAAUUAGGAAUCUCCCAGCACAGAGGAG